CUUUUUUAAAAGUUGUACGUGAACAUGUCAGCUGGAGAACCAUCUUCAAAAUCACCUUCCCAGCUGUGAAGGUCCUCCAGCAUAUUUGCUUGGUCCUCUUUGGCCAUGGUAAGGACAGCAGGCAUUUUCACUUCACCUUCAACGUUUGUCUUGUGACACCAGUCAGCAGCAGCCAUGCUGUCUCUCAAAAUAAUGUUGCCCUGCAGUAAACAAGACAACAAGGAUAAAGUGUUGUGUUGUACAUUGGUGAUUGAUCCAACUGAUUAGAUAGAACAUUAAUAAUCACUUGGGAAGACUCCCUCAGGGAAAUUG